rnacentral:rRNA from 1 species
GUCGAGAAUCUUCCGCAAUGCGCGAAAGCGUGACGGAGCGACACCGCGUGAUGGAUGAAGUCCUUCGGGGCGUAAACAUCUUUUAUAAAGGAGGAAAUUUUUGACGUUACUUUAUGAAUAAGGGGCUCCCAAUCUCGCGCCAGCAGGAGCGGUAAUACGAGAGCCUCAAGCGUUAUCCGGAAUCAUUGGGCGUAAAGGGUGCGUAGGUGGUUUGAUUAGUCUCCCGUUAAAACUUCGAGCUUAACUCGAAAAGAGCGGGGGAAACGGUCAAACUAGAGUAUGUGAGAGGUGUGUGGAACUCAUGGUGUAGGGGUGAAAUCCGUUGAUAUCAUGGGGAACACCAAAAGCGAAGGCAGCACACUGGCACAUCACUGACACUGAGGCACGAAACCUAAGGUAGCGAAUGGGAUUAGAAACCCGGGUAGUCC